rnacentral:rRNA from 1 species
CAGGGGAUCUUCGGACCUUGCGUUAAUGGAGCGGCCGAUAUCUGAUUAGCUAGUUGGUGGGGUAAAGGCCCACCAAGGCGACGAUCAGUAGCUGGUCUGAGAGGACGACCAGCCACACUGGAACUGAGACACGGUCCAGACUCCUACGGGAGGCAGCAGUGGGGAAUUUUGGACAAUGGGCGAAAGCCUGAUCCAGCCAUUCCGCGUGAGUGAAGAAGGCCUUCGGGUUGUAAAGCUCUUUCGCAAGGAAAGAAAACUUAGCUAAUAACACUAGCUGAGGAUGACGGUACCUUGAUAAGAAGCACCGGCUAACUACGUGCCAGCAGCCGCGGUAAUACGUAGGGUGCGAGCGUUAAUCGGAAUUACUGGGCGUAAAGCGUGCGCAGGCUGUUUUGUAAGUCAGAUGUGAAAUCCCUGGGCUCAACCUAGGAACUGCGUUUGAAACUACAAGGCUAGAGUGUAGCAGAGGGGGGUAGAAUUCCACGUGUAGCAGUGAAAUGCGUAGAGAUGUGGAGGAGUACCAAUGGCGAAGGCAGCCCCCUGGGUUAACACUGACGCUCAUGCACGAAAGCGUGGGGAGCAAACAGGAUUAGAUACCCUGGUAGUCCACGCCCUAAACGAUGUCUACUAGUUGUUGGGAGAGUAAAAUCUCUUAGUAACGCAGCUAACGCGUGAAGU